rnacentral:lncRNA from 1 species
CUCAUCUUCUCAAAAUGGAUGCAAAUUUCUGUUAAGGCCAUUGAUAUUAGAGAAAAGCCCCACUAAGUCCUGCCUGUACGGCAAGAAUGACCGCCGUUUAUCACCUUCGUUCAGACGUCGGCUGUUACUCUUCACGUGAUACAGAUGAUCCUUCACAUUCACCUUCACUCUCUCCGACGCAAUUGCCGCAGCCUUGGCCUCUUCCCCGCCGUUCUUUUUGCUCGGCGUCAAAAACACGAACGUCUCCUUCCCG